AUGGCAUCAUGAGUCCGCAUGUUCACAUGAUUAAAGGUAUUCCGGUAGACGAUGGGGAUGCGUUCCAUUAGAUAGUAGGCGGGGUAACGGCCCACCUAGUCUUCGAUGGAUAGGGGUUCUGAGAGGAAGGUCCCCCACAUUGGAACUGAGACACGGUCCAAACUCCUACGGGAGGCAGCAUG
rnacentral:rRNA from 1 species